CCGGCGACCGGCGCACGGGUGAGUAACACGUAUGCAACCUGGCCGUGACAGAUGGAUAACCGGGAGAAAUCCCGCCUAAUACAACAUAAUGCCGGGAGGGGACAUCCCCUGCCGGCCAAAGGGGCGACCCGGUCACGGAUGGGCAUGCGGCGCAUUAGGUAGUUGGUGGGCAACGGCCCACCAAGCCGACGAUGCGUAGGGGUUCUGAGAGGAAGGUCCCCCACAUUGGAACUGAGACACGGUCCAAACUCCUACGGGAGGCAGCAG
rnacentral:rRNA from 1 species